rnacentral:rRNA from 1 species
AAACACGGACCAAGAAGUCUUGAAUGUGCGCGAGUCAAAGGGCUGGCUAAACCCCAAGGCGAAACGAAAGUGAAAUUGCUCAUCAAAAUUUCAUUGGGCUGAUCCGGUUCGGGGUGCGCGAGCGGGGGGCAAAUUCAUGUAGAGCCUAGGCGGCUUCGGUCGCGGCGCGCGGUCGUCGGUCCCAAUUCUUCCACACCUCCUUUGUCAUCGCGCACCUUCACGUUUAAGCGAUGAAAGGGGAGAGGUGGCGGUUUGCGGGUUCGUCGUCGUCGUCGCCUCGUUGUUGGCCGAAGCUCUGCAGCCCCCUUCAACUCUCCCCCCGAUUUGUCACCCAUAAAUAUGUGGACGGCGCAAGCCCGGGGCUCGCAUCGCUCCUCUUCGCGCAUUUGAGUCCGGCGUCACGCGGGUUGACGCCGUCGAUUUGAUCGCGGGGACGAGCAGCGGGUACCUUGAGCGCACAUAACAGGACCCGAAAGAUGGUGAUCUAUGCGUGGCGAGGAUGAAGCCAGGGGAAACUCUGGUGGAAGUCCGUAGCGAUUCUGACGUGCAAAUCGAUCGUCGGAGCUGCGUAUAGGGGCGAAAGACCUAUCGAACCAUCUAGUAGU